UACGUAGGGCGCGAGCGUGUCCGGAUUUAUUGGGUUUAAAGGGUGCGUAGGCGGCCUAAUAAGUCAGUGGUGAAAGCCUCCAGCUUAACUGGAGAACUGCCAUUGAUACUGUUAGGCUUGAGUAUACUUGAGGUAGGCGGAAUUGACAGUGUAGCGGUGAAAUGCAUAGAUAUUGUCAAGAACACCAAUUGCGAAGGCAGCUUACUAAAUUAUAACUGACGCUGAGGCACGAAAGUGUGGGUAUCAAACAGG
rnacentral:rRNA from 1 species